rnacentral:misc_RNA from 1 species
AAGAAGAGACCCGCAUCAUUGA